UACGUAGGGGGCUAGCGUUGUCCGGAAUCAUUGGGCGUAAAGCGCGUGUAGGCGGUCCGGUAAGUCCGCUGUGAAAGUCGGGGGCUCAACCCUCGGAUGCCGGUGGAUACUGUCGGGCUUGAGUACGGAAGAGGCGAGUGGAAUUCCUGGUGUAGCGGUGAAAUGCGCAGAUAUCAGGAGGAAUACCGGUGGCGAAGGCGGCCUUCUGGACGGUGACUGACGCUGAGACGCGAAAGCGUGGGGAGCAAACAGG
rnacentral:rRNA from 1 species